GAGGUCGAACGAAAAAUAGUGAGCACUGCUAAAUCUUACAUCCAAGGUUAGACUCCCUGGCUUCCUCA
rnacentral:tRNA from 2 species